rnacentral:rRNA from 1 species
UACGUAGGGUGCAAGCGUUGUCCGGAAUUAUUGGGCGUAAAGAGCUCGUAGGCGGUUUGUUGCGUCGGCUGUGAAAUCCCGAGGCUCAACCUCGGGUCUGCAGUCGAUACGAGCAAACUAGAGUGUUGCAGGGGAGACUGGAAUUCCUGGUGUAGCGGUGAAAUGCGCAGAUAUCAGGAGGAACACCGGUGGCGAAGGCGGCAUCCUGGACCAACACUGACGCUGAGGAGCGAAAGCCAGGGGAGCAAACAGG